AGUAAAGUCAGCUAAACAAGCUAUUGGGCCCAUAUCCCAAAAAUGCCCCCCGGCCUUUACUA
rnacentral:tRNA from 1 species